ACGUGGCGGCAGCUAAACAUGCGGUAAGCGAAAGCACUUCGGUGCUAGUGCGUAGCGGACGGGUGAGUAACGCGUAGGAAUCUACCCAGUAGUGGGGGACAACUUAGGGAAACUUAAGCUAAUACCGCAUACGCCCUGAGGGGGAAAGCGGGGGAUCUUCGGACCUCGCGCUAUUGGAAGAGCCUGCGUUAGAUUAGCUAGUUGGUGGGGUAAAGGCUCACCAAGGCGACGAUCUAUAGCUGGUCUGAGAGGAUGAUCAGCCACACUGGGACUGAGACACGGCCCAGACUCCUACGGGAGGCAGCAGUGGGGAAUAUUGCGCAAUGGGCGAAAGCCUGACGCAGCCAUGCCGCGUGUGUGAAGAAGGCCCUAGGGUUGUAAAGCACUUUCAAUUGGGAGGAAGGGGUUAAAGUUAAUAGCUUUAACUUUUGACGUUACCUUUAGAAGAAGCACCGGCUAACUCCGUGCCAGCAGCCGCGGUAAUACGGAGGGUGCGAGCGUUAAUCGGAAUUACUGGGCGUAAAGCGCGCGUAGGCGGUUUGUUAAGUCGGAUGUGAAAGCCCCGGGCUCAACCUGGGAACUGCACCCGAUACUGGCCGACUUGAGUGCGAGAGAGGGAGGUAGAAUUCCAAGUGUAGCGGUGAAAUGCGUAGAUAUUCGGAGGAACAUCAGUGGCGAAGGG
rnacentral:rRNA from 1 species